GGGGGCGUAUUUGGUUUCGACAGCAUUUUAGAAGUAAGAAUAGCGAGCAGUGGAUUCUCGUUUGCCACUUUAAAAAACGGGAAAUUUUAAAUAUAAACGCUGAUAAUAGAGAAUUAGCAUUCGCAGCUUAGUUCUGCGACGUUUUACCUUAGGUUCCCACGCCUUUGGAUAAAGCGACGAUUUGUGGGACACGAACCUAUUUCUCGCCAUAGAAAUAGCAGGUAUAUUAAUGGCUUAUUUAUUUUUUCGUUUGUUUAUUCAUGAUUAAAUAAAGACAUUUAAGAAUAAACUGCGCUCGGAGAAGUUCUUAUGGAAGAAAUGUUGGACAGGGGUUCAACUCCCCUCGCCUCCACCA
rnacentral:tmRNA from 1 species